rnacentral:lncRNA from 1 species
GUCUUUUCCUGGCUGUCCUGUGUUGGUGAUAAAUGGAUCACAAUUUCAGGACUUCACACCAUUUCACCAGUCUCCUCUAAUAAUUUCUACUGUUUUUUAUUAGUUGGAGCACACUGUGUGAAUACCAAGUACACGAUCUGUGAUUAGCAGAUUCCCUUGGAAGUCUCCUUCUGUGAGCUCUUAUUUGAUUUAAUCUUGUCUCAGG